rnacentral:rRNA from 1 species
GAGGUGGCAAGCGUUGUCCGGAAUUAUUGGGGCGUAAAGCGCGCGCAGGCGGUUCUUUAAGUCUGAUGUGAAAGCCCACGGGCUCAACCGUGGAAGGUCAUUGGAAACUGGAGAACUUGAGUACAGAAGAGGAAAGCGGAAUUCCACGUGUAGCGGUGAAAUGCGUAGAGAUGUGGAGGAACACCAGUGGCGAAGGCGGCUUUCUGGUCUGUAACUGACGCUGAGGCGCGAAAGCGUGGGGAGCAAACAGGAUUAGAUACCCUGGUAGUCCACGCCGUAAACGAUGAGUGCUAAGUGUUAGGGGGUCUCCGCCCCUUAGUGCUGCAGCUAACGCAUUAAGCACUCCGCCUGGGGAGUACGGCCGCAAAGGCUG